rnacentral:rRNA from 1 species
GACGAACGCUGGCGGCGUGCUUAACACAUGCAAGUCGAACGGAAAGGCCCUGCUUUUGUGGGGUGCUCGAGUGGCGAACGGGUGAGUAACACGUGAGUAACCUGCCCUUGACUUUGGGAUAACUUCAGGAAACUGGGGCUAAUACCGGAUAGGAGCUCCUGCUGCAUGGUGGGGGUUGGAAAGUUUCGGCGGUUGGGGAUGGACUCGCGGCUUAUCAGCUUGUUGGUGGGGUAGUGGCUUACCAAGGCUUUGACGGGUAGCCGGCCUGAGAGGGUGACCGGCCACCAUGGGACUGCGAUACGGCCCAGACUCCUACGGGGGGCAGCAGUGGGGAAUAUUGCACAAUGGGCGGAAGCCUGAUGCAGCAACGCCGCGUGCGGGAUGACGGCCUUCGGGUUGUAAACCGCUUUCGCCUGUGACGAAGCGUGAGUGACGGUAAUGGGUAAAGAAGCACCGGCUAACUACGUG